rnacentral:rRNA from 1 species
UACAGAGGGGGCAAGCGUUGUUCGGAAUUACUGGGCGUAAAGGGCGCGUAGGCGGCCUUCUAAGUCGAACGUGAAAUCCCUGGGCUCAACCCAGGAACUGCGUCCGAUACUGGGAGGCUUGAAUCCGGGAGAGGGAUGUGGAAUUCCAGGUGUAGCGGUGAAAUGCGUAGAUAUCGGGAGGAACACCAGUGGCGAAGGCGACUACCUGGCCUGUUCUUGACGCUGAGGCGCGAAAGCUAGGGGAGCAAACGGG